CACCACCACCUCCACCGAUAUAUCAAUCUCUCGGCUGGCGGCGAAAAGUAAUCCUUUUGGCAAGACGAGGGUCCAACUUCUUGCCGUAACUAAUGAUACUUUUUAGUGAAGGAUGGCGCGACAAUGAUACCGACUCCUGACUCCUUUCUUCCAUUACGCAACGUCCCGCUUCCAUACAUUCACUUCCAGGGGGUCGAUUGAGUGGUGCCCCCCUUCCUGUUCAGUCACCCAGUAUUUUUAUCGCACCAAAAGUAUGUUUGUUUCAGUGGUCCAGCAGUCCAAAAGCSCCUYAACACUCUUCUUCUCCUCCUCCUGCUCAAUUACUCAGUGCACCGCCAAGAGGCUGAGKACCUUCAUACKUCUCRGGAACAUUUCUCAGGUGAGUGCAAACGCUUCUCUUCUCUUCCGCUCCGAGCCUCCCUGAACAAUCGGUGAGGGUUCGGACGUGAGGGCAGCAGUUUGGGGUACUGGAAGGGUUUUUUCACUUGCCUCGAGACACAAUGGAAAAAACCCUUUUAGCUGCGUCCCUAAUUAGUAAACCCUUAUUUCCUAACCCUCAUUUUGAUGCUACACCGAGGACGUUGCUUAGAGUUGAUUUCAGCACUCCUCGUCUCGGUAGCAUCGAGUUAGUUGAGGGAGUUGAGGAGUUGGACUUCGCAUUGGGAGGGGAGCCUCGGAGGUCUCUCGGACUCUUCGACUCUCCGGAGGAGUUGAGGUGGAGGUCGGUUCCGCAGGGGAGACUUUUCGACUCUCCGUAAAGAGGAGUUGAGGAGUUUGAAAGAGGAGUUGAGGAGUUUGACUUCGCCUUGUCAGGGGAGCCUCUUCGAGUCUCGCGGUAGCGUCAAUUCAGCCCCAGAUGGACCAUCCGCCCAAUUUUUCAGACCUGUGAUUUUGUGCUAAAUAUCGGUCAACGUAUAUACGUUGAAACGUUUUUUGUCGUUUAUUGAAAUAAAACUCAUUUGCUUAAAA